rnacentral:lncRNA from 1 species
GCAGCCGCCGAGCAGAUCCCAAUGGCCGCCUCCGCCAUCCAGCGCUCCGCCUUCGCCGGCCAGACCGCUCUGAAGCAGAGGGACGAGCUCGUCCGCAAGGUCGGCGUCUCCGAUGGCCGCAUCACCAUGCGCCGCACCGUCAAGAGCACUCCCCAGAGCAUCUGGUGAGCCCCCUCCUCCUCUUCUUCCUCUUCUUCUUCUACUUCGUUUCCUUCCAUCUGGAUCUGUUAAGGUUUGCGGUUGCCCCUGUUCUUCGCGAUACAGUCGGAUCCUGGCUAUCGUCUCCUCUGAUUCGGAUAUGUCAGAGUUUGGGGCUGUUUGUUCUUCGUGAUUCGACCGGAUCGUGGCCAUCUUCGUCUCCUUCGAUCUCGAUCUGUUAGGGUUUACUGUUGCUGCCUGUUCAUCACGAUAUACUCGGAUCCCGCUAUCAUCUUCUCUGAUUCGAAUAUAUUAGGGUUUACGGCUGCUUGUUCUUCGUGAUUUAGCCGGAUCGCGGCGACGGGAUCUUCUUCUUCUUCUUCUUCUUCUUCUUCCGGCUGCCUUUGCAGCGCGAUGUGGGAUCUGAUGAGGAAAUGACUGAUUCAGGUACGGACCGGACCGCCCCAAGUACCUGGGCCCCUUCUCGGAGCAGACCCCCUCCUACCUGACCGGCGAGUUCCCCGGGGACUACGGGUGGGACACCGCGGGGCUCUCCGCGGACCCGGAGACCUUCGCCAAGAACCGGGAGCUGGAGGUGAUCCACAGCCGCUGGGCCAUGCUCGGCGCCCUCGGCUGCGUCUUCCCGGAGAUCCUCUCCAAGAACGGCGUCAAGUUCGGCGAGGCCGUCUGGUUCAAGGCCGGCGCCCAGAUCUUCUCUGAGGGCGGCCUCGACUACCUCGGCAACCCCAACCUGGUCCACGCGCAGAGCAUCCUUGCCAUCUGGGCCGUGCAGGUGGUGCUUAUGGGCUUCAUCGAGGGCUACCGCGUCGGCGGCGGGCCCCUCGGGGAGGGCCUCGACCCGCUCUACCCCGGCGGCGCCUUCGACCCGCUCGGCCUCGCCGACGACCCUGAGGCCUUCGCGGAGCUCAAGGUCAAGGAGCUCAAGAACGGCCGCCUCGCCAUGUUCUCCAUGUUCGGCUUCUUCGUCCAGGCCAUCGUCACCGGCAAGGGCCCCAUCGAGAACCUCGCCGACCACAUCGCCGACCCCGUCGCCAACAACGCCUGGGCCUACGCCACCAACUUCGUCCCCGGCAAGUAGACACCUCCCUCCCCCCAUCCUCCUCCUCCUCCACCGCCGCCUCCGCCGGCGAGCUCCUCCCUCUUCGCCGCCUCUCUGUAUCUCCCUCCCCCUCCUCUCCUCUCCUCUCUCCCUGUGUAACAGUAUGAUGAUCCAAAGACGACUUCUUUACCCCCAUGUCUUCAUGCCUCCACCCAUCCGAAGAGGGGAGAGAAAUGUAGAGAGAU